rnacentral:rRNA from 1 species
AUUGAACGCUGGCGGCAUGCCUUACACAUGCAAGUCGAACGAGUGGCGAACGGGUGAGUAACGCAUCGGAACGUACCUAGUAAUGGGGGAUACCUGUCCGAAAGGACAGCUAAUACCGCAUAUUAUUCGAGCUGCCGAUGUCUUAUUAGCUGGUUGGCGGGGUAAAGGCCAACCAAGGCGACGAUCCGUAGCGGGUCUGAGAGGAUGAUCAGCCACCCUGGGGCUGAGACACGGCCCAGACUCCUACGGGAGGCAGGAGUGGGGAAUUUUGGACAAGGGGCGCAAGCCUGAGGCAGCCAUGCCGCGUGUAUGAAGAAGGCCUUCGGGUUGUAAAGGACUUUUGUCAGGGAAGCGGUACCUGAAGAAGAAGCACCGGCUAACUACGUGCCAGCAGCCGCGGUAAUUC